rnacentral:lncRNA from 1 species
AAAAUUAUAACCUAUAAAAGUAGAAGUGAAUCAGCAAAAUAUCAUAAUGAUACGCAAAGCAGGGCUGGAUUAAUUGCAAGGGUGAGAACGUCUUUACAAACACGUCGAGUAGCAAAUGCCUUGUGGAAUCUAGGAUGCAAGGUAUUGGCUCUUACACUACAAAGCCGGGUCAGCGAGUUUCUCAAACGGGGAGAGGAUAUUAGUGGAUCAAGGGACAAGCUUGGUUAUCGGAGAAAUUGUUGUCUUUGGACAUAGAGUUUCACUAAUGCUUGAAAUUUCGGAACAUAGAUAGCACUGAUGAUCCGGCCCGCCCAAUCCAAGGGAAAUCCACCGCCUUAAUAUACGUUAGCUUUGUUUGUCACGUUGUUCAUAGGUUUAUUCAUGUUGUUACUAUAUAAUACAUCAACGUAACCCGUCCACCGGACGGGUAUUA